rnacentral:rRNA from 1 species
AACCUUACCUGGGCUUGACAUCCCGAUCGCACUUUCUGGAAACAGUGAGGUCAGUUCGGCUGGAUCGGUGACAGGUGCUGCAUGGCUGUCGUCAGCUCGUGUCGUGAGAUGUUGGGUUAAGUCCCGCAACGAGCGCAACCCUUGUCCUUAGUUGCCAGCAUUCAGUUGGGCACUCUAAGGAGACUGCCGGUGUUAAACCGGAGGAAGGUGGGGAUGACGUCAAGUCCUCAUGGCCCUUAUGUCCAGGGCUACACACGUGCUACAAUGGCCGGUACAAAGGGUAGCGAGACCGCAAGGUUGAGCGAAUCCCAAAAAGCUGGUCUCAGUUCGGAUUGGAGUCUGCAACUCGACUCCAUGAAGUUGGAAUCGCUAGUAAUCGCGGAUCAGCAUGCCGCGGU